GAUACAGAUAUAGAUGUAUAGAUAUAUCACCAGGUGAAAUACAACAGAGAGCUAUAUUGAGAAUUUCCUUCAGGUCGGAGACUAGAACUUACAGUUUGAGAAAAUUUUGGUUAAUUUACUUAUUCAAUCAUGUUUAUUGAGUGGCUCUAUGUAUAUUGUACUAGGCCCUGAAGAUACUGUAGUAAACAAGACAGACAAGUUCUCUGUUCUCUUGAAGCUUAUAUUGUAGUGACAGUAAACAGAGUAAGCAAAUUAGAAAACAAGUUAACUUCAGGCAUUUUAGUGACAUGAGAACAACAAAAACAGCAGGGUGAUGUGAGGCAAUGGGAUAUGAGAAUGGCUGAGAGGCCUACUUUGGAGUAAGUCUGCGAGUGAAAUCACCUUUGAUGAGGUGAUGUUUGAGUUGAGACAGGAAUCACAGGAAGGAGCCAAUUAGUGAAGAUCUCAGGGCCAACCAUGCCAGGCAGAGGGAAUAAGAAGUGCAAAGGCCCUACGACAAACAAAUUCGGCAAGAAAAUUGGAUGUAUAUUUUGAAUAUGAAGAAAAAAUAAUGAGCAAAACUACUCUGGAUAAAUCUCUUCUAGAUAUAAUAUCAGACCCUGAUGCAGGAACUCCAGAAGAUAAAAUGAGGUUGUUUCUUAUCUAUUAUAUAAGCACACAGCAAGCACCUUCUGAGGCUGAUUUGGAGCAAUAUAAAAAAGCUUUAACUGAUGCAGGAUGCAACCUUAAUCCUUUACAAUAUAUCAAACAGUGGAAGGCUUUUACCAAGAUGGCCUCAGCUCCGGCCAGCUAUGGCAGCACUACCACUAAACCAAUGGG
rnacentral:sRNA from 1 species